CAGUGUUUAGUUUAAGUUAAAAUUUAAUAUUUGGGUUAUUAAGAUUUGUGUCACUGA
rnacentral:tRNA from 1 species